GGUCUCCAGAUGUUGUUGAACUACAACUCCCAUCACCCCUAGCUAGCAUCAGGGAUGAUGGGAGUUGAAGUUCAACAACAUCUGGGGACCCA